UUGGAGGGCAAGUCUGGUGCCAGCAGCCGCGGUAAUUCCAGCUCCAAUAGCGUAUAUUAAAGUUGUUGCAGUUAAGAAGCUCGUAGUUGAAUUUCGGGAUCAAUGUUUCGGUCAUGCCGUUGGUAUGUACUGAUAUUAUUGAUUUCUCACCUACUAAAGAACCGUAAUGCCAUUAAUUUGGUGUCACGGGGAAUUAGGACUGUUACCUUGAAAAAAUUAGAGUGUUUAAAGCAGGCUCACGCUUGAAUACAUUAGCAUGGAAUAAUGAAAUAGGACAUCCGAUUCUAUUUUGUUGGUUUCUAGGAUCGAUGUAAUGAUUAAUAGGGAUAGUUGGGGGCAUUAGUAUUCAAUUGUCAGAGGUGAAAUUCUUGGAUUUAUUGAAGACUAACUACUGCGAAAGCAUUUGCCAAGGAUGUUUUCAUUAAUCAAGAACGAAAGUUAGGGGAUCGAAGACGAUCAGAUACCGUCGUAGUCUUAACCAUAAACUAUGCCGACUAGGGAUCGGAUGAUGUUAAUUUUUUAAUGACUCAUUCGGCGCCUUACGGGAAACCAAAGUGUUUGGGUUC
rnacentral:rRNA from 1 species